GUGUUUGCUUCGGCAGCACAUAUACUAAAAUUGGAACAAUACAGAGAAAAUUUGCAUGGCCCCUGCGCGAUGACACACAAAUUCAUGAAGCUUCCAUAUAAAAA